GUAGCUGGUCUGAGAGGAUGGCCAGCCACACUGGAACUGAGACACGGUCCAGACUCCUACGGGAGGCAGCAGUGGGGAAUAUUGGACAAUGGGGGCAACCCUGAUCCAGCAAUGCCGCGUGUGUGAAGAAGGCCUGAGGGUUGUAAAGCACUUUCAGUGGGGAGGAGGAUUGAUAGGUUAAGAGCUAAUUAAUUGGACGUUACCCACAGAAGAAGCACCGGCUAACUCCGUGCCAGCAGCCGCGGUAAUACGGAGGGUGCGAGCGUUAAUCGGAAUUACUGGGCGUAAAGGGUGCGUAGGUGGUUUAUUAAGUUAUCUGUGAAAUCCCUGGGCUUAACCUGGGCAGGUCAGAUAAUACUGUUUGACUCGAGUAUGG
rnacentral:rRNA from 1 species